UGGGGAAUUGUUCGCAAUGGGCGCAAGCCUGACGACGCAACGCCGCGUGGAGGAUGAAGAUUUUCGGAUCGUAAACUCCUUUCGAUCGAGACGAAUGACCCUUGGGUUAAUAGCCUGAGGGAGUGACGGUACUAUUUGUAAGGUCCGACUAACUACGUGCCAGCAGCCGCGGUAAUACGAAGGGAGCUAGCGUUGUUCGGAAUCACUGGGCGUAAAGCGCACGUAGGCGGAUAGUUAAGUCAGGGGUGAAAUCCUGGGGCUCAACCCCAGAACUGCCUUUGAUACUGGCUGUCUCGAGGUCGAGAGAGGUUGGUGGAAUUCCUAGUGUAGAGGUGAAAUUCGUAGAUAUUAGGAAGAACACCGGUGGCGAAGGCGGCCAACUGGCUCGAUACUGACGCUGAGGUGCGAACGCGUGGGGAGCAAACAGGAUUAGAUACCCCCGUAGUCCCUGAGCGGGCUGGCAAGGCGCAU
rnacentral:rRNA from 1 species